rnacentral:rRNA from 1 species
GAUGAUCGCUGGCGGCGUGCCUAAUACAUGCAAGUCGAGCGAACGGACGAGAAUCUUGCUGCUCUGAUGUUAGCGGCGGACGGGUGAGUAACACGUGGAGAACCUACCUAUAAGACUGGGAUAACUUCGGGAAACCGGAGCUAAUACCGGAUAAUAUUUUGAACCGCAUGGUUCAAAAGUGAAAGACGGUCUUGCUGUCACUUAUAGAUGGAUCCGCGCUGCAUUAGCUAGUUGGUAAGGUAACGGCUUACCAAGGCAACGAUGCAUAGCCGACCUGAGAGGGUGAUCGGCCACACUGGAACUGAGACGCGGUCCAGACUCCUACGGGAGGCAGCAGUAGGGAAUCUUCCGCAGUAGGCGAAAGCCUGACGGAGCAACGCCGCGUGAGUGAUGAAGGUCUUCGGAUCGUAAAACUCUGUUAUUAGGGAAGAACAUAUGUGUAAGUAACUGUGCACAUCUUGACGGUACCUAAUCAGAAAGCAACGGCUAACUACGUG